rnacentral:rRNA from 1 species
GCUGGUUGCCUGUGAAAUGAAUCGAAGUUCUUCCUUAAUUUUACCCUACCCCCAGACCCAAGCACUACCCCGUAAUAAAUUAAGAGUUAUUUAAAGGAGGAACAGCUCCUUUAAAAAAGGAUUCAACCUCCCCCAGAGGAUAAGCACUUACCUAACAUUAAACCUGUAGGCCUUCAAGCAGCCAUCACCAAAGAAUGCGUCAAAGCUCAUUUCUCCCUAAUCCAAAAACACACGCGAGUCCCUCAUCCAUAACAGGCCAACCUAUCAAAGAUAGGAGUAUUAAUGCUAAAAUAAGUAACUAGGGAUUCCCCCUCUAAAGCACAAACUUACAUCUUCACAUUAUUAACAGACAAACUAAUACCCCAACAACCACUGCAAGACCUAAUAUUAAACAACUCUGUUAAACCAACUCAGGAGUGCCUAACUAGAAAGAUUUAAACCUGUAAAAGGAACUAGGCAAAUUCCAAGGCCCGACUGUUUACCAAAAACAUAGCCUUCAGCACACCAAGUAUUGAAGGUGAUGCCUGCCCAGUGACACUAAGUUCAACGGCCGCGGUAUCCUAACCGUGCAAAGGUAGCGCAAUCAAUUGUCCCAUAAAUCGAGACUUGUAUGAAUGGCCAAACGAGGUCUUAACUGUCUCUUACAGGUAAUCAGUGAAAUUGAUCUCCUCAUGAAAAAGUGAGGAUGAACCCAUAAGACGAGAAGACCCUGUGGAACUUAAAAAUCAACAGCCACUCUAAACCUAACCAAAACCUACCUGGCCCACCCCCCUAGAUAACUGGCUCACAUUUUUCGGUUGGGGC